rnacentral:rRNA from 1 species
GACGAACGCUGGCGGCGUGCUUAACACAUGCAAGUCGAACGGAAAGGCCCUGCUUGCCGGGUGCUCGAGUGGCGAACGGGUGAGUAACACGUGGGUGAUCUGCCCCUUACUUUGGGAUAAGCCUGGGAAACUGGGUCUAAUACUGGAUAGGACCAUGCUGUAGGUGGUGUGGUGGAAAGAUUAGUUUCGGUAAGGGAUGAGCUCGCGGCCUAUCAGCUUGUUGGUGGGGUAAUGGCCUACCAAGGCGUCGACGGGUAGCCGGCCUGAGAGGGUGGACGGCCACAUUGGGACUGAGAUACGGCCCAGACUCCUACGGGAGGCAGCAGUGGGGAAUAUUGCACAAUGGGCGCAAGCCUGAUGCAGCGACGCCGCGCGGGGGAUGACGGCCUUCGGGUUGUAAACUCCUUUCAGCCAUGACGAAGCCCUUGUGGUGACGGUAGUGGUAGAAGAAGCACCGGCUAACUACGUG